rnacentral:sRNA from 1 species
AUCUUGCUUCCCCUUCGCCUCCUGACAUGAUUGUGAAUUUCCUGAGGCCUCCCCAGCCGUGAUGAACUGUGAGAGAGCCAUGUAAUCAUGCCAACAUCCUGACCAAGCCCGAUCCAAGAACCUUCUGGACUAGUGAUGAUCCAGCUUUCAUGAAGCAGAGGAGGAUGGGUCUGAACGACUUUAUUCAGAAGAUUGCCAAUAACUCCUAUGCAUGCAAACACCCUGAAGUUCAGUCCAUCUUGAAAAUCUCCCAACCUCAGGAGCCUGAGCUUAUGAAUGCCAACCCUUCUCCUCCACCAAGUCCUUCUCAGCAAAUCAACCUUGGCCCGUCGUCCAAUCCUCAUGCUAAACCAUCUGACUUUCACUUCUUGAAAGUGAUCGGAAAGGGCAGUUUUGGAAAGGUUCUUCUAGCAAGACACAAGGCAGAAGAAGUGUUCUAUGCAGUCAAAGUUUUACAGAAGAAAGCAAUCCUGAAAAAGAAAGAGGAGAAGCAUAUUAUGUCGGAGCGGAAUGUUCUGUUGAAGAAUGUGAAGCACCCUUUCCUGGUGGGCCUUCACUUCUCUUUCCAGACUGCUG